CCGGGGGCGGGGAGAGGGGCGGGGCUUUCCGCCGAAAGGGGGCGGGGCGCGCGGAGGAGGCGGGGCGAGCGCAGGGGAGGCUGGCGAGCAGAGAGUGCCCUUGUGUCGCCAGCCGGCGAGCGGCUGGGAGCGAGCAGCCGCCCCGCGCCGCCAGCGGGACGGGACGGGACAGCACGGCACGGGACAGCACGGCGCGGGGCGGGACAGGCCGGGCCGCAGGGACAGCCGGACCGACCCGCCGGUAGGGGCGAGGGGAGCCAGCGGGGGCAGCCGGCACCGCUCGGUGGAGGGAAGCAGCCCGGCGGCGGCAGAGCCGGCGGGGAGAGCUGCUCCCCCCACUUCCCUCCCCAAUCCACCCCCGCGACCCCGGCCCUCCUCCUCCUCCUCCUCCUCACCCCACUGGAUACAGCGAGGGAGACACUGCGGCGGCGGAGGCGGCGGCGGCGGCUCCUGCGGGGGGAAGGAAGCGCCCGGAGAGCGGAGCGGCGGGAGGCUGCGGAUCUGCGUGCCUGGCGCCCACCCAGCCCGAGGGGAGCCCCCAGGAUGCGGCUCAAGCCCGGCGCGCUCCUGCGCUUCUACAGCCUCUGCGGGAUCCUCAUGCAAGUGUCCAAAGUGCUCUCAUUACCUGGAUUACAGAGUCAUAAAAUCAAAAUUUUUGCUUCAGGAAGAUGCUCAAAUAUAAAGAAGUAGUCUAUGGCCAGAGGUUUCCUCCAAGAACAGACCUAGGGUAUAAAUGUGAUAAUGAACGUGAAACAACAACAACAAAAAGAUAAGUUUCACCAUAAAAUUAUAGUAAAUAUCCACUGUAGGAAAGUUAUUUUAUUUAGUAUACUGAGAAAAAAUGGAGGAGAUGUACUGCUUCUGAAUGAAUGUGAUUGCACUUUAUCACCUGCUGUUUACAAAGAUGGAGUUCAGUGGAUAAUUAACACGUAGCAGGAAUGUGAAAUGAGCUUUUGGAGCCAUAUUUGAGGGGCCAGAGGACUAGUAAAACUGACAAACGAUUUCAGUCAAUUUGAUAUUCUGAACGGAACUGAAUUUCUGUAUCUUUAAAUUUUCUCAAGUAUUCUUGAGCAUGGGUUUCCUCUAGUUAAUAAAAAUAGUAACAUUUAUAGUACUAGUAUCA
rnacentral:lncRNA from 1 species